rnacentral:miRNA from 1 species
UAAGGCGAGAUGAGGUCUUUGGACA